rnacentral:rRNA from 1 species
CGACUCUCGGCAACGGAUAUCUCGUCUCUCGCAUCAAUAAAGAACGUAGCGAAAUACAAUACUUGGUGUGAAUUGCAGAAUCCCACGAACCAUCGAGUUUUUGAACGCAAGUUGUGCCUGAAGGCACGCCUGCCUAGGCGUCACG